UCAGCUGCCGUUCUUCUUCCUGUGCAAGAGGAGCAGCAGUUGGUUACUCAUCACCUUCUGCCUGACAAGUUCCGAAGGAGCAGGAGUUGGACGUAAUGACCCACAACAUGCUAAAAGGAGUUAACUUUCGAAGUGGCCCUGAAAGGGUACCGCCAAAAGAAGAAGAAAAAAACAAAGAAAAGAAAGGAACCGUUUAGCCCCUUCGGUUAUUGGCAUUUGUGGCCAGCAAAACAGCAUUUGGCUCCUCUGCAUUUACAGGAUGCUCCCUGUCCAAAUUUUAUCCUUCCAACAAGAUUAUUAAACCAGACUAUAACCAA